rnacentral:rRNA from 1 species
AGAGUUUGAUCCUGGCUCAGGAUGAACGCUAGCGAUAGGCCUAACACAUGCAAGUCGAGGGGUAACAGGGUAGCAAUACCGCUGACGACCGGCAAAUGGGUGAGUAACGCGUAUGCAACCUACCGAUAACAGUUGGAUAGCUCCCUGAAAGGGGAAUUAAACCGGCAUGAUACUAUUUAAUCGCCUGUUUAGAUAGUUAAAUAUUUAUAGGUUAUCGAUGGGCAUGCGUGACAUUAGCAAGUUGGUGAGGUAACGGCUCACCAAUGCUACGAUGUCUAGGGGUUCUAAGAGGAAGGUCCCCCACACUGGUACUGAGACACGGACCAGACUCCUACGGGAGGCAGCAGUGAGGAAUAUUGGUCAAUGGACGGAAGUCUGAACCAGCCACUUCGCGUGCAGGAUGACUGCCCUAUGGGUUGUAAACUGCUUUUAUACGGGAGCAAUAAGGGUUACGAGUAAUCCGAUGAGAGUACUGUAUGAAUAAGGAUCGGCUAACUCCGUGCCAGCAGCCGCGGUAAUACGGAGGAUCCGAGCGUUAUCCGGAAUUAUUGGGUUUAAAGGGUGCGUAGGCGGCCAUUUAAGUCAGCGGUGAAAUUUUGCAGCUUAACUGUAACAGUGCCGUUGAUACUGUUUGGCUAGGAUUUGGUUGUAGUGUGCGGAAUGUGUGGUGUAGCGGUGAAAUGCUUAGAUAUCACACAGAACACCGAUUGCGCAGGCAGCACACUAAGUCAUUAUUGACGCUGAGGCACGAAAGUGUGGGGAUCAAACAGGAUUAGAUACCCUGGUAGUCCACACUGUAAACGAUGAUAACUCGCUGUCGGCGAUACACAGUCGGUGGCCAAGCGAAAGCAUUAAGUUAUCCACCUGGGGAGUACGACCGCAAGGUUGAAACUCAAAGGAAUUGACGGGGGCCCGCACAAGCGGAGGAACAUGUGGUUUAAUUCGAUGAUACGCGAGGAACCUUACCCGGGCUCGAACGGUGCAUGAAUAUACGAGAGAUUGUAUAGUCCUUCGGGACAUGUAUCGAGGUGCUGCAUGGUUGUCGUCAGCUCGUGCCGUGAGGUGUCGGCUUAAGUGCCAUAACGGGCGCAACCCCUACUGCUAGUUGCCAGCGCGUCAAGGCGGGGACUCUAGCGGAACUGCCGGCGUAAGCCGUGAGGAAGGUGGGGAUGACGUCAAAUCAGCACGGCCCUUAUGUCCAGGGCUACACACGUGUUACAAUGGCCGGUACAGAGGGCAGCUACUCAGCGAUGAGAUGCUAAUCUUCAAAACCGAUCUCAGUUCGGAUCGGAGUCUGCAACUCGACUCCGUGAAGCUGGAUUCGCUAGUAAUCGCAUAUCAGCCAUGAUGCGGUGAAUACGUUCCCGGGCCUUGCACACACCGCCCGUCAAG